rnacentral:rRNA from 15 species
AUAACGACUCUCGGCAACGGAUAUCUCGGCUCUCGCAUCGAUGAAGAACGUAGCGAAAUGCGAUACUUGGUGUGAAUUGCAGAAUCCCGCGAAUCAUCGAGUCUUUGAACGCAAGUUGCGCCCGAAGCCAUUCGGCCGAGGGCACGUCUGCCUGGGUGUCACGC